ACUAAUACACCCACUGACUUUUACACUCUCAAAACUAGGUCAGCUGUCUCCGGCACAGGCACAUGCCAAUUUUGUGAGGACACACCCACAUAUCACACAUGCUCUGCAAUACAGUAUUCUCUCCCAAACUCUGUGUCUGCCAACUUUAUUCUUAUGUAAUCGCAUUCAUUUUCCACUGCCCAUCCUUUCAUUAAUGUCGCAGCUCUCAUCUCGAGGAUAUCCCGGGUUAGAGAUACUGCACUCAGUCUCAGUGUGCAGGCGGGCUCACAGUGCAGGCUUGGCAGAACUAGCACCAUGCCAGCAGGUGUAUUUCAUCUUAUGGAUCAGGGUUAGCUGAGCUAUUAUAUUUCACUGCGGUAGAGCCUGUUUUUAAGAACUGAGCUGAGUUGAGUGGGUCAAGUGAGUCACUGAAACCAAGACAAAGCCUGUACAUAAAGAUGGAACACCACAGUAAAGACAAACACUACAGCAAACUUUCAUUUUCUGGUUUCUUUAGAAAUGUAUAUAUGGUUGUGUUUUACUGACAAUGAAUCGGAAGCGAAAACCUAAACUUUCAUGUCUAACCACGUUUCUGCCUCUGAAGUGUUUCGAUGCUGGUCCUUACACACUUGCAACAAAAUCUGUGCUGUCGUAUCAAGACACCAUCUGUGUUUUGAUAGCACUUGAAAAGCAAGGACAAGGGUAGCAUGAUGGAGGGAUGACGUUAUGGAUGAAGUAGCACAUGGUGGUCAAGGAGAGAACGGAGUGAUAGUAACAGAGGAGGAUGAAGGGACGGGAGAAAAAGGAGAGGGACAAGCAAUUCAGGGGCUCCCUGUAGUGUUGGGUAAACACAGAGCCUGUCUGUAUCCAUGGAGACAAACCCUGAGUGGAAUGAGACGGAGGGGAGCGGGAUGAGGUGGGGGCGGACAACACUGAAAAACAAGGUCAUAGCGCUUUCCCUUCUCUCCUUCCGUUCCGCCACUUGGCAUCAACAAAGGGAUGUUAUGUAACAGCUAUUUAUACCAGUGCUCCCUUUUCCCUCUCACCCUCCCUCUCAUGUCGGGCAGCACCACAUGCAAACCAAAUGGAGUUGCUGCUCGUCUCUGCUCUCCUCCAAGUCCUUUUCCUCCUUUGCUUUUCCUCGUCCUUCUUCCCUCAGAUCAGCCACUUUCUUUGUCAUUUUUCCAGCUAAAUGAGAGUGUGUCUACACCCAUUGUCUUUUUUUUUUGUUUGUUUGUUUGUUUGUUUUUUAUAACUAAUACAAGUAGAAUGCGCCUGCAAUGCAAGUAUUUUGGAGGGAAACAGAACAGCAUGCUAUGUGGUCACAUGCACAGAUGGCUGACGAGGGAAAUGUUACAAGUCGCCAUGUCACAACACAAUUUAAAGCUGUCUGAACCCUCUCACAGCCGUCACUGAAAAACUGGAAUGCGAGGAGCCGUGAGGAGCCAGCGAGUCUAGAAAGCACUAACUGCCUGCAAAAUAUCAAAGUUCCUCAGACAUCUAUGCAUUCACUUUGCAUGACAUUAAAAGGAGAGUGAGCGAGUGUGUGUGUGUGUGUGUUAGAGAGUGAAUGUGCAUCUUCAGUUAUUCUGUGUGGUUUAUUUCUGUGUGCUAUGUAGGUCAUGAGUAAAUAGUUAACUGUGUUACAUGAGAACAAGAUAUCCAAGACCCAACAGGUGCUCAGCUGGGCAUGACAAAUAAAGACAGUGUGCUUUCUUGAAGAGAGAAGUGAGCGAACGUGGACAAUUUGGCGGUUUAUGGAUUCAAGCUUCAAGCUGUCAGUAAAUUUUUUUUUUUUUUUUUUU